AGGAGUGGGCUAGCAGUGCUGGCAGAGGAGUGAGGAAGCUCCUGUGUCUUCAUAAUGACUGGUAACCCCACGUGACUCAUCAGACGCGCUUGGGCAUCAUUUACAUUCAUGAUGUUGCAGGGCUGACAUCAGGGACUUGAGGAAAUACCAUGUGGUAAUGAAAUAUGUCUAAAUUCCUUCUCAGGCUGUCCACAUCGUUCCUAGAUUCUCCCAGGACGCCAUCAGUGUUUUAGGUUUCAGCUUCCUCGUUCUGAAUGACUCCUACCACUUAACGGACAAACAUUUGUGAUAUUACCCGUCAAACAUAAAGGACAGGCUUAGUUCUGGGCCUUGCGGUUAUGGCCUGUUCUCGGGUGGAAGGUAAAGGACAGCGUGUCUAGACUGCAAGAGUCGCAGAUAAUGUGAAGCCUGGGCUGUAUCCAGAGAUUCCCUACAGCCAUUAUUUACCAGAAUCUAGAAGGCUCGGAUUCUACAACGUGGUUUAUUCUAGACUACACUCUCCUGCAUCAGGAGCUGCUACCAUGUGGCUGAGGCAAGCAGGCUUAUUUGUGAUAGCCAGAAGCUGGAAACAACCCAGAUGUCCCAAAAAGAAGAAUGAAUACAGAAAAGGUGGUUCAUUUACACAAAAGAGUUUUGCAGGCAAAUGGAUGGAACUAGAAAAAUAUCAUCCUGAGUGAGUCUUUCAAACAGAAGAUGGCAAGAAAUUCAUCCGAUAAACUGAAGAAAUAACUAUAAAACUUUAGAGGAUGGAAAAAGAUGGUCGGGGAAGUCCUGGAUGAAUCAUCAACACCUUUAGAAGAAGACAGAUGACAAGAAGGAAGUCAAUGUGGUUGGAAUGAGAUGAAAAAAAUCUUGUCAUGGGAGAUCCCUUGGUUGUGUUUAAUUUGUUGAUUCCUAUCAAACUGGUCAUAGGAAACCUUGAAAUUAAGUAGUGUCUGUCCUUCAUCUUUGAUCUCUUUUAUCAGCAUGUCUAUUCUAGUUCUUUAAAAUUUCCAUAUAAACCAGAGACAGGAUUUUUUGAAAUUCACAAAAUAACUUGCUAGAAUUUCAGUUAUAUUGCAUCAACUAUAGAGAUAAUAUUGGCAAAAGAAAUUCUAAUGUGCUACUGACAUUGAGUCUUCCAAUUUUUGACACAACAAAAAGCUUUUGCAUCAAAAGGAAUAAGAGAUUAUUUAUUAUGACUAAAUAUAGUGGCUCUCAAGAAUGAGCACUUGGAUUGUCGUGAAUGCUGUUUUUAAAGUGGUAGCAGUUGCAUGAAUAUUUAUACUCAUGUACCCACAUAUGGAGAGCACCAGAGGUGCAAGUAUGUGAAGACCAGAGUGGGUAGGUGUUGUUGAUAUGAUGCUAGAGGGUCUAGAACCACAUCCUGAGACCCAUAGGAAAACAAAAAACUUUUCUCCUGCUCUGAGCCUCAGAGAGAAAACAAACACUUCCUCUGGUCCAUGUGUAAAUGUUUAUAGUGUGUGCAAAAAUGCUUUAGCAUAGCUUUUUUCCCCCUGGAUGUUUAGCGCCUUAAGUUACAGUGAGAAUGGCUAAGAUCAAAAACUCAGGUGACAGCAGAUGCUAGCAAGGAUGUGAAGAAAGAGGACAACACCUGCAUUGCUGGUGGGAUUGCAAGCUGGUACAAAAGAUGUAGAAAUCAAUCUGGUGGUUCCUCAGAAAAUUGGACAUAGUACUACAUGAAGACCCAGCUAUACCAUCCCUGGGCAUAUACCCAAAAGAUGUUCCAAAAUAUAACAAGGACAUAUGUUCCACUAAGUUCAUAGCAGCCUUAUUUAUAAUAGCCAGAAGCUGGAAAGAACCCAGAUGUCCUUCAACCAAGGAAUGGAUACAGAAAAUGUGGUACAUUUACACAAUGGAAUACUUAGAGCUAUUAAAAACAAGGACUUCAUGAAAUUCUUAGGCAAAUGGAUGGAGCUAGAAAAUAUCAUCUUGAGUGAGGUAACCCACUCACAAAUAAAAAAUACAUAGUAUGUACUCACUGAUAAGUGGAUAUCAGCCCAAAAGCUCAGGAUACCCAAGAAAAAACUCACAGACCAUAUGAAGCUCAAGAAGGAAGACAAAAACAUGGAUUCUUCAUUCCUUCUUACAAGGGGGAACAAAAUACUCACAGGAGGAAAUACAGGGAGAAAGCGUGGAGCAGAGACUGAAGAAAGGCCAUCCAGAGACUGCCCUACCUGGGGGUCCAUCCCAUAUGCAGCCAUCAAACUCAGUCACUAUUGCUGAUGCCCAGAAGUGCUUGCUCACAGGAGCCUGAUAUGGAUGUCUUCUUAGAGGCUCUGCCAGAGCCUUAUUGAUACAGAUGAGGAUGCUUGCAGCUAAGCAUAAGUCUGAGCACGGGGACUCCAAUGGAGGAAUUAAAGGACUGAAGGAAUGAAAGGGGUUGAAGCCCCAUAGGAAGAACAACAUAUCAACCAACAAGACACCUGGGAGCUGCCAAGGACUAAAGCACCAACAAAAGAGUACACAUGGAGGGACCCAUAGCUCCAUUUGCUUAUGUAACAGAGGAUGGCAUUGUCUAGCAUCAAUAGAGAAGCCUUUGGACCUGUGAAGGCUCAUUUCCCCAAUGUAGGGUAAUGCCAGGGU